CUCUGUGAUUACCUGCUCCACCUUGUGUUGCACCUGUAUCUCAUUACCUCCCUCCCUUGUGUGUAGUUCUUGUCUCCCCUUCCAUCCAUACCAGACUGUCUUUGUCCCUAGUUUCAAGUGUUCCAGCCAUACUUUCCUUGUACCUGUCUGUAUGUCGUGCAUGAGUCCUUUGUCAGUUGACCUGCUGCUGGUGCUAGAGAAAAGUCAGGGGAUCACCAAAUUCACUUGGACUCAUUAAUGUCUGUACAACAUUUUAUUGUAAACUGACUGACCAACAUUGCCAUCCACAAAGCCUUGCUGCUAGCAUGGCAAAAAACAGAAUCCAGAGCUUUGACGGUGACAGGAUUGCUGGUUGUCAUGGAAACCAGCGGGUAAUUGCUCUCUGUGGAAGGGUAGAUGAGGAGGUGACCUCUCCAGGGGCACUAGUGUUCUCCCACCUCCACCAACAUGGCUGUCACUUCUUGCCCUUUACCAACCACUAUAAAAAUGUUAACGGGAGAGUCAGUGUGAAAGAGGGGUUUUACCAUUAGUAUCUGAAAUAUUUUCGUGGUACAUCUCCUGUUCAUGUUCUCCGUCGUUGGUGCUAUUAAGUCACUACUGUGAUAUCUUUUUAUUUGUCUUUUAUAGUCUGCUCAGAGUCAUUGCUGUGUUUAAUGCCUCCAUCUUUGGAGCCUAGUUUUGUCCCCACACGGUGCACCAUUUCCGACAGAACACUCUUUUUGAAUGGUUUUCUUUUGCUAAUGUGAGGAAUAUUUCUUUUCAGUGGGCAAGUAGUCUUUCUUUGCUAAUGUCAUUAAACCAGCACGCAAAAUUCCACUAUAUGAAACCUCACCAACACAUGAUGUAAAAUAAACACUUCUGAUGCCA